AAGUUAGCCAAAUAUCCCAAAAUGUCAAAAACACUUCUGCAGUUUGAACCGUCGCCGGCUAUUCUCUUCCGCCGCCGCUGCUGUUGCUCAGAAUCACUUCAUUUUCGGCCUUCUUCUUCGUUUCAUUCACCUUCUGCUCACACUCGUCACUUCCAAGCAAUCUACUCUCUCUUCUUCACCUUUUUCCCUCGUAUUUGUCUGUUAACAACACUCCUCUUCCCCGUUUCCACUUGCGAUUAAAGGAAAUUGCAGUUGCUCUAAUCGUUUUACAAUGGAAGAAUCUCCCACACUUGGAAAGCGGAAAGAACUUGAAGAAGAAUCAGCUGUCGUAGAAACUGGCAACAACCAAGAAACGAACUCCAAUAAGCGACCUAAAGAAUCGAAAAACCUAGAAGAUGUGAAGGCAACUCCGACUCAGGAAACUGUCUCCAACCGACGCAGUUUGACGCGGACUUGUGUUCAUGAAGUUGCGGUCCCGGCUGGGUACACUUCUACCAAGGACGAGUCGCUUCAUGGAACCCUAUCGAAUCCGGUUUUCAAUGGUACAAUGGCGAAAACGUACCCGUUUACACUCGACCCGUUUCAGCAGGUAUCGGUUUCUUGCUUAGAACGGAAUGAAUCUAUUUUGGUUUCUGCUCAUACUUCAGCUGGAAAAACUGCGGUUGCUGAAUAUGCCAUUGCUAUGGCUUUUAGAGAUAAGCAGAGGGUUAUAUAUACUUCUCCACUCAAGGCUUUGAGUAAUCAGAAGUAUAGGGAAUUGAGUCAAGAGUUUAAAGACGUGGGACUGAUGACUGGGGAUGUGACUCUUUCGCCUAAUGCUAGUUGUUUAGUUAUGACGACGGAGAUACUUAGGGGGAUGCUUUACAGGGGUUCGGAAGUUUUGAAGGAAGUAGCAUGGGUAAUUUUUGAUGAAAUUCACUAUAUGAGAGAUCGGGAAAGAGGUGUUGUUUGGGAAGAGAGUAUAAUAUUUUUACCACCGGCUAUCAAAAUGGUCUUCCUUUCUGCAACAAUGUCCAAUGCCACGGAGUUUGCUGAGUGGAUAUGUAAUAUACACAAGCAGCCUUGUCAUGUGGUGUACACUGAUUUUCGACCAACUCCCUUGCAACAUUAUGUUUUUCCCGUGGGUGGCAAUGGGUUGUAUCUCGUGGUUGAUGAAGACGAACAGUUCAGGGAGGAUAAUUUUAUGAAGCUGCUGGACACAUUUGCUAAACAAAAACAGAUUGCUGGCCACAGGACUUUAAAUGGGAAAUCUAGUGGGAGAAUAGCUAAAGGUGGCAGUGGUUCCGGAGGUUCGGACAUUUAUAAAAUUGUUAAGAUGAUUAUGGAACGGAAUUUCCAACCAGUUAUUGUCUUCAGUUUCAGUAGAAGAGAAUGUGAACAACAUGCAAUGUCCAUGUCCAAACUUGACUUUAACACUGAUGAAGAAAAGGACACGGUGGAACAUGUUUUCAGAAAUGCGAUUCUCUGCUUGAAUGAGGAAGACAGAGAGCUACCUGCAAUUGAGCUAAUGUUACCUCUUCUCCAGAGAGGAAUUGCUGUUCAUCAUUCUGGGCUUCUUCCUGUAAUUAAAGAAUUAGUAGAGCUCCUUUUCCAGGAAGGUCUUGUUAAGGCCCUUUUUGCCACAGAAACUUUUGCCAUGGGUUUGAACAUGCCAGCAAAAACAGUUGUCUUCACUGCCUUUAAAAAGUGGGAUGGUGAUAGUCACCGAUUUAUUGGAUCUGGUGAGUACAUUCAGAUGAGUGGAAGGGCUGGACGUCGUGGAAAAGAUGACAGGGGUAUAUGCAUUAUAAUGAUUGAUGAGCAGGUGGAGAUGGGAACAAUUAAAGAUAUGAUUUUGGGCAAACCCGCUCCUCUUGUUAGUACUUUUAGACUGAGCUACUACUCAAUUUUAAAUUUAAUGAGCCGGGCUGAAGGCCAAUUUACAGCUGAGCAUGUUAUUAGACACUCAUUUCAUCAGUUUCAGCACGAGAAGGCAUUGCCUGAUAUUGGGAAAAGAGUGUCGAAGUUAGAGGAGGAAGCUGCCACACUUGAUGCUUCAGGAGAGGCUGAAGUUGCUGAAUACCACAAGUUAAAGCUUGAUAUAGCACAACUUGAGAAGAAGAUGAUGUCUGAAAUAACAAGGCCGGAAAGAGUUCUCUAUUUUCUUCUUCCUGGUCGGUUGGUUAAGGUAAGAGAAGGGGGGACAGACUGGGGUUGGGGAGUUGUAGUUAACGUUGUUAAAAAGCCCUCAGCUGGGUUAGGCAUCUUGCCUUCACGUGGUGGUGCUUAUAUAGUGGAUACCUUACUCCAAUGCUCUCCUUGUCUAAGCGAGAAUAGUUCACGACCAAAACCUUGUCCACCCCGUCCUGGAGAAAAGGGUGAAAUGCACGUGGUUCCAGUUCAGCUGCCUCUUAUUUCAGCCUUGAGCAAACUCAGAAUCUCUAUUCCUUCUGAUCUCAGACCCGUGGAAGCAAGGGAAAGCAUACUGCUUGCAUUGGAAGAACUGGGAACUCGUUUUCCACAGGGUUUUCCAAAAUUGAAUCCAGUUAAGGACAUGAGUAUUGAAGAUCCAGAAAUUGUUGAGUUGGUGAAGCAGAUUGAGGAACUUGAGCGGAAAUUAUAUGCUCAUCCUCUGCAUAAGUCACAUGAAGUGGACCAGAUUAAAUGUUUUCAGAGGAAAGCGGAGGUUAAUCAUGAAAUUCAAAUAUUAAAGACCAAAAUGCGCGAUUCCCAGCUUCAAAAAUUUCGUGAUGAACUGAAGAACCGUUCUCGGGUCCUGAAAAAGCUUGGUCACAUUGAUGCAGAUGGUGUAGUUCAGUUGAAGGGGCGUGCAGCCUGCUUGAUUGACACAGGGGAUGAGCUCCUUGUUACUGAAUUAAUGUUUAAUGGAACAUUCAAUGACCUAGAUCAUCACCAGAUUGCAUCCCUUGCAAGUUGUUUUAUACCAGGAGACAAGUCCAAUGAGCAGAUUCAGUUAAGAACCGAGCUUGCUAGACCAUUACAGCAACUCCAAGAUAGUGCGAGAAGAAUAGCUGAGAUACAACAUGAAUGCAAAUUGGAGAUAAAUGUGGAAGAAUAUGUGGAAUCAACUGUAAGGCCGUAUUUGAUGGAUGUCAUUUACUGUUGGUCAAAGGGAGCGAGUUUUUCAGAGGUGAUUCAAAUGACAGAUGUUUUCGAGGGUAGUAUCAUUCGAAGUGCUAGAAGGCUUGAUGAAUUCUUGAAUCAGUUGCGUGCUGCUGCCAAUGCUGUGGGGGAGGUAACCUUAGAGAGUAAGUUUUCUGCGGCCAGUGACAGCCUCCGCAGAGGUAUAAUGUUUGCAAACUCACUCUAUCUGUAGAUUGCCCUCUGCUUUGGUUGCAUCUUUAGGGGUUUAUGAAGCUCUGGGGUUGUGGAUUUCAUCAACCAUCUGUCAUUGAGGAUCCCUCCUUUCCCACUUGCAAUUACUUGCUCCGAGUAUACAACUUUGUGCAGUAUGACAAAGAUAAAUAGUGCACGACUUGACUAGUCGACACACAACUUUCUCGAGCGAAUUACAUAUGAUUUUUGUGAUGCUCCUUUUGAGUGUGUUCUUAUGUUGUUUUGGGGCCCUUUUUAUGCAUUCGUGAGUAUUUGACAGAAGAUGCACCUCCUUGCCCUUUUUUUGUGUACUCCUUUUUUAUACUGAAAUCUUUGUAACUCGAAAAAAUAUAUCAGUAGGCCACAUGUUUAUUAACAAAACUGACUAUCUAUCUAUCUAUCUGUU